AUGGACUCGGCACACUGCUCAGUAACACGUGGAUAACAUACCCUAGAGUGGAGCAUAAUCUCGGAAAACUGAGGAUAAUACUCCAUAGGUCACGAGAUCUGGAAGAGACUUGUGGCUCAAAGUUCAGGCGCUCUAGGAUUGGUCUGCGGCCUAUCAGGUAGUAGUGGGUGUAACGGACCCACUAGCCGAUGACGGGUAUGGGCCUUGAGAGAGGGAGCCCAGAGAUGGAUUCUGAGACACGAAUCCAGGCCCUACGGGGCGCAGCAGUCGCGAAAACUUCACAAUGGAGGCAACUCCGAUGAGGGAAUUCCUAGUGCCAAUGCAUUUUGUGUUGGCUUUUCUUCAGCGUAGAUAACUGAUGGAAUAAGGGCUGGGUAAGACGGGUGCCAGCCGCCGCGGUAAUACCCGCAGCCCAAGUGGUGGUCGAUAUUAUUGAGUCUAAAACGUUCGUAGCCGGUUCAAUAAAUCUCUGGGUAAAUCGGAGGGCUCAACCUUCCGAAUUCCGGAACGACUGUUGAACUUGGGACCGGGAGAGGCAAGAGGUACUUCUGGGGUAGGGGUAAAAUCCUGUAAUCCUUUAAGGACCACCGGUGGCGAAGGCGUCUUGCUAGAACGGAUCCGACGGUGAGGGACGAAGCCCUGGGUCGCAAACGGGAUUAGAUACCCCGGUAGUCCAGGGUGUAAACGCUGCAGACUUGGUGUUGGAGAUCCUUCGUGGGUAUUCAGUGCCGGAGAGAAGUUG
rnacentral:rRNA from 1 species